rnacentral:rRNA from 1 species
GAUGAACGCUAGCUACAGGCUUAACACAUGCAAGUCGAGGGACCGGCGCACGGGUGAGUAACACGUAUCCAACCUGCCCUUUACUCGGGGAUAGCCUUUCGAAAGAAAGAUUAAUACCCGAUAUAAAGGAUGGUGAUGCGUUCCAUUAGGUUGUUGGUGAGGUAACGGCCCACCAAGCCUUCGAUGGAUAAGGGUUCUGAGAGGAAGGUCCCCCACGUUGGAACUGAGACACGGUCCAAACUCGUACGAGAGGCAGGAGUGAGGAAUAUUGGUCAAUGGGCGUUAGCCUGAAACAGCCAAGUAGCGUGAAGGAUGAAGGGUUGUGAGUAGUAAACUUCUUUUAUAUAAGAAUAUGUAUUAUAGGAAUAAGGAUCGGCUAACUCCGUGCCAGCCGCCGCGGUAAUUC